rnacentral:rRNA from 1 species
ACGUAGGUGGCGAGCAUUAUCCGGAUUUAUUGGGCGUAAAGCGAGCGCAGGCGGUUUUUUAAGUCUGAUGUGAAAGCCCUCGGCUUAACCGAGGAAGUGCAUCGGAAACUGGAGAACUUGACUGCAGAAGAGGAGAGUGGAACUCCAUGUGUAGCGGUGAAAUGCGUAGAUAUAUGGAAGAACACCAGUGGCGAAGGCGGCUGUCUGGUCUGUAACUGACGCUGAGGCUCGAAAGCAUGGGGAGCGAACAG